AUGCCAAUAUGGAAAACUAUGCAACCAACUUUGCCUUGUUGCACCAAUAUCCAAAAUAUUCCUUUGUCUGCUGUCCAAAAUCAGCUGUUACAAAUCUUGCAAAGCAUGCUUCACAACACUUCAAAAACUUUAAAAAACCGGCAUAAUAAUGCCAAACAAACUGUCAAAAAACCAGUCCAACACCUACUUUGCUUCCCAUGCCUUGUCCCAAUCCAUUUUCCAACUUGUAGCCAUCAAAACUUGCACAAAACCUGUCCAACUUGUAACCACCAAAACAACAAAAAAAACAAGUUGGUGCCUUAUGCUUAUGCUGCC